GUCGUUCUGAACGAUUAGGAAUCAAUUCUAAAUGAGUUCUGAAUAUUUAGUUAGCGUUUAAGCGCUAAAUCAUGCCGGUUUCCGUUACUUCGAUUAGCCCAGAAGGGAUUUCGCACAGAAUGAAACGGACAUUUUGGAUCUUUCAUUAUUGUUUAAAAAUUUGAAUUUCAUAUGAAUAUUAAAUUAUGUAGAUAGUAGUUUAGAAAACUUAAAAGAAAUUUGAGUAAACAAAAAUUGAGUUAACGGAUGUUUUAGGAGGAUUAACUUUUUGAUAAUGACCUUUAGACAUGCUUGUUUGUAUAUUAAAACAUGCUUGUUACCAUAUUUAAAAUCGUUAUUUAGUUUGAUUUUCUAAUGGCAUAAAAUAGAAUUGAAUAGAAUUGAAGCAGUUUGUAUUACAGAAAAAAGUGGUUUUACAAGAUUUGAAAUAGUUUGUAUCAAACCAAGAAGUACUUAAAAGAUUGCAAAAGAGAUGAUAUAAAAGAAUUAUGUGAUAAUCAUAAACUGAAUAUGAACACCUUAAUGCUGGUUAAAAAAAAAGUAAAACUUAAAGUCUUAGAGGAAGUAAUUCCUGAAGCUACUCUUCAUAUUUUGGUACACGCGGUUCAAUGUUGGAAUGUAAAAAAACAGCGAACAAUUUUUGAAAAGACACUUGAAGAAAACAUUCCUAAAUAAUACUUUUUUUUAUCUCUAUUUCUUAGUUUGUGUUUUUACCUUGUAAAUUUAUUUUACAGAGGGUGAUUAAUAAAAUAUUAAUAAUAAUUAUUAUUAUUAUUGUUACAAAUAAUCUAAUUAUACGUUGUUAUUAAGUUUAUUAUUUAGUUAUAAUAUCUUAAACUCUUAUUAUCUUAUCUAUAAGAAUAUUCAUAUAAAUUAUAUAAAAAAAAAUAAGUUUGUAAAUAAAAAAUAACAUUACCUAAUAUUUUAUUUAAUUGAUUUUUUAGAUCAUUCGUAUGAGUGCAAAAGCAAAGUAUAUGCGAAAAUAUAGAAAAGUUGUUAAAGAUGCAAAUAAUUGCUUUGAAUGUGAACCUCCUGUGUUAUCAAAUUCUUCAACUAAUGCAGAAAAUUUGUUCGCUUUAUCUUCUAUUGCAAAUAAUAUAACUGAUAAUUUAUUUAAUAGUGAUACCUAUAGACUUGACAUUGACAUAGUACCACCUUACAGUAGUUCCGAUGAAGAAAAUUGUGAUAUAAAUGAUAUUGACAUCGACAUAGUACCACCUAAUAGCAGCUCAGGCGAUGAACAUUAUUGUGAUAUAGAAGUUGUUGGCAAUAGAUCUUUUCAAUACGAUCUAGCUCAAUGGGUUGUUAAUGCAAAACUCACACGUUUAUCAUGUAAUGGUUUGCUAGCCUUGUUGAGAAAACAUGGGUGCGAGCUGCCUAAAGAUAGCCGUACUCUUUUACAAACACCUCAAGCUAUACAAGUUCAGGAAAAAUGUGGUGGAAAAUACAUUUAUUUUGGCCUUACCAAAUGUUUACAGAAUUCAAUAAAUCAAGGCACUUGCAGUAAUAUACUCAAUCUGCAAAUAAAUGUUGACGGUAUAUCAUUGUUUAGAUCAUCAGACAAUUUUGGCCGAUUCUUUCUGCUGUUAAUCAUAGUUCACCCACAAUUGUUGCCUUAUAUCCAGGAGAUAGUAAGCCAAACUGUGUUAAAGAAUUCUUAAAGGAUUUUAUUGAUGAAUAUAAACUUUUAAAAUGUAAUGGUGUCACUCAUAAUGGUAAAAAUUAUACAGUUAUUUUACACUCAGUUAUUUGUGAUGCUCCAGCAAGAUCUUUUCUGAAAAAUAUUCAAAAACAUUUCUUUUUAUAUUUAUCUCCCUCUAAUAUAGUUUUAAAUAUGUUUUUAUGUCUAUAUGUUUAAUAUGUUUAAAUAUGCUAAUAUGCCUAAUGUGAUUUUUAAUUUAAGGAAGAUAUUUCAUAGUAUACUAGGUUAGCACUAUGAGUGAAAAAAGCUAUAUAUUUUUUAGCCUUCGAAGUUAAUCAAAGAGUUAUUAUAGCUUUUUUUUUUAUUAAUAUUUUCAUUUGGUGUAAGUUAUUGUAAAUUUAUUUUAGGUAUAUUAAGUUGUGAUUUUAUUUUCCUAUGUUUUAACUUUUUAAUUUUUUUUUAAUUUUUGUUUCGAUUUUGUUUACUUUUAAUGUAAAUCUAAAUAAUUUUAGAUAUUAAUCUUAAAAUUUUAAAGAGUAAUUAAUAUAGAAAUUUUCAUAACCAUCUCCUCUGAUAAUAACUUCUAUUGGUGUCUUGUUUAGCUGAAACAAGUGAUAAUAACAAUAAUUAAACUACUAUUUAUAUGUAUUAGUAAAAAAAUAUUUAUGUAUUUGUAAACGACUAAACUUAUAUUAAACACUUUUAAACAAGUUUAGUUACAAGUUUAUGUUAUGUGUUGAUGUACCUACAAUAAAAAGAGUAUUAACAUUUUAGUAAAAUGUCAUAUCGCCGGGCUGUUUGGUUGGAAGAAAAUUGUGAGGAAGAAGGAGUCUUGCCAUCCGCAUGGGUGCGGGGAAAAGUAGUUAUGUGGCCCCCAUCCAAAAUGAAUGCGUUUAAAUUAAUGAAAGAAGGAGUAGAACCUAAUGAAAAUUGGCGGCUUUUUAAACUAAUAAAAAUAAAACUUCAGAUUGCUACGAGGAUUGUAAUAAUUAUGAUUUAACUACAGAAACUGAAGAAGAUAAUCAGCAAGUUUCAAAAAAGCGCAAGCGUACUGCUUGUACAACUUUUUUUGAAGGCGAGGAAGAAGUUGAUGUUGAUAUUAAUACAGAAAGUAAGAAUAUAUAUUUUUUAUGUUAAUUCAUCUCCCUAAAGGCUGAGAUGACCACUACAAUCGAAGAGGCUACUUGUAGUUUCAACCCUCUCUCAACUUCAUAACUCUGAAACACAAACCUUGACGAACAAGGCUGCUGCGUGAAGAAACAAGUUCAUUAAUUAGUAAUUUUAUGAAGAGUAGAGCAGGAGCUAAUAAUAGCCUACAUAAUAAUAGUAAUAAUAGUGUUAUGUGUAUGUAUUUUGUAAUAAAACAGUUAUUAAAAAUAAUUUUUUACACUUGCUGUAAUUGUAUUUUAUUUUUAAAAUAGUAAAACUAUCUACAUUUCCACAGCCACCUGCUAAACUAGGCAAAAUGUUACCAUCAAAUAUUUCACUAUAUAAAAAGGUUGUGGAUGUGGUACCACAAGGAUAUAAAAGUGAUCAUGCAACUAAACUAUCACCAAUUCCACAGUCACCUGGUCUUUCAAGCUGUUAUUCUAAGAUACCUUCAUUCAAAUCAAGCAUGGUGACUAUACCAAAAGAAAAGAAAAUGGAUCAAUCAAUUAAGAUGUCUAAAUUUAUAUCUUUGAUAUAGACCACCUUCACUUUUAAAUAAUCUUCAGAUUUAGACCUACUAACUUUUACGACUUAUGAUGAUAUAUUUUACAGAGUUUCAGAGAAAAGUUCUUUAUCAGUUAUCAAAUAUGGCUAACGAAAUUAAAGAUUUACGAAUAGCAGUGGAAAUGAUGGCCGUACCAAGUUUAGAGACUGUUGCUGAGGUCCAUCUAGAAGUUAUAGCUGGAGCUAUUGGGACCUUGAAUGGAUACAGAAAAUUAGAGGAGCAAUGUGGAGUUCUUGCUAAUCGAACAAUUUUAAAAGUGUAUAGCUAAUUGUUUUUAUCCUCUUUCCCAGAAAGGUUUUUAACGUCUAUAUAAUGUUUGUUUUGAUGUCAGAAAAUAUGUUUUGCUUUCAUUGAGGUGGCAAGACUUUUGUUUUUUUUAUUAAUUAGAAUCCCAUGUGUAAUGAAAAGUAGCAUUUAUAAAUAAUUUCUUUGUAGCUUCGCCUUCUUUCACGAAUCGGAGGGUCAUCCAUUAAAGAUACUUCUAAGAAUCUAUUGAAAAGACUUUUUACAAAUUUUGUUAUGUCUCAUUUGAGUAUGGAUGGUAAAGGUUCUCUUAAAAAGCUUCCGUUUAGAGACUCUGCUCUGUGUCAACUUGUUGUUGAGUGUGUAUUGAAACGAUAUUCUACGUCUUCUUUGUCCGAAAUACAUUCGUGCAUUGGUUCUCAUCUUAGAAUGGCUCCGUUUCGUUUAGGUGGCACUGGGAAAGGUGGCGCCUAUUUUUCCAAUUCUCAAGAUGGAAAGGCUGGCUUGAACGAUUCAAGCAAAGAUGAUGCUUAUUGUCAUGGAAGCGAUCAUGAUAAUGAUAAAUACGAUAAUUCAUAUUAUAAUAAUUAAAAUUAGUGUAAAUAUGUUUAAGACUUGCAUGUAUGAAAAAAAAUAUCUGUAUGUUUGA